CAACUUUCAGCAACGGAUCUCUUGGCUCUCGCAUCGAUGAAGAACGCAGCGAAAUGCGAUAAGUAAUGUGAAUUGCAGAAUUCAGUGAAUCAUCGAAUCUUUGAACGCACCUUGCGCUCCCUUGGUAUUCCGAGGAGCAUGCCUGUUUGAGUGUCAUUAAAUUCUC
rnacentral:rRNA from 1 species